rnacentral:rRNA from 1 species
UCGAUUAAGCCAUGCGAGUCUAGAGGCCUAGCCUCGGCGUACCGCUCAGUAACACGUGGGUAACCUACCCUAUGCUGGGGAAUAAGCUCGGGAAACUGAGAAUAAUACCCCAUAGUCCACUACGCCUGGAACGGUGAGUGGAUCAAAGCUCCGGCGGCAUAGGAUGGGCCUGCGGCGUAUCAGGUUGUAGGGGGUGUAAUGUACCCUCUAGCCAUCCACGCGUACGGGUGUUGGGAGACAUUGCCCGGAGAUGGAUUCUGAGACACGAAUCCAGACCCUACGGGGUGCAGCAGGCGCGAAAACUUGGCAAUGCGAGAAAUCGUGACCAGGGAACUCCAAGUGGCAGGGGUAAGACCCUGUCUUUUUCCGACUCUAAAUAGGUCGGCGAAUAAGGGGUGGGUAAGGACGGUGCCAGCCGCCGCGGUAAUACCGGCGCCUCAAGUGGUAGUCGCUUUUAUUGGGCCUAAAACGUCCGUAGCCGGUCUGGUACAUUCGUGGGUAAAUCAACUCGCUCAACGAGUUGAAUUCUGCGAGGACGGCCAGACUUGGGACCGGGAGAGGUGUGGGGUACUCUCAGGGUAGGGGUAAAAUCCUGUCAUCCUGAGAGGACCACCUGUUGCGAAGGCUCCACACUAGAACGGAUCCGACGGUCAGGGGACGAAGCCUAGGGGCACGAACCGGAUUAGAUACCCGGGAAGUCCUAGUGUUAAAACGCUG